rnacentral:rRNA from 1 species
AUUAGCGGCGGACGGGUGAGUAACACGUGAGUAACCUGCCUUAGACAUUGGGAUAGCCUCGGGAAACCGGGAUUAAUACCGAAUAAAGUCACAGAUACACAUGUAUCCAUGAUCAAAACUCCGGUGGUCUAAGAUGGACUCGCGUCCCAUUAGCUAGUUGGUGAGGUAACGGCCCACCAAGGCGACGAUGGGUAGCCGGCCUGAGAGGGUGAACGGCCACAUUGGAACUGAGAAACGGUCCAA